ensembl:lncRNA
AAAAAAGAAAGAUACUGAGAAAUCAGGUGGGAGAGUUUUCAGUAUGUCAGUUUAUCCUAAGAGUAACCAAGAUUAGAUGGAGUAUGUGCUUCAAAGAGGAUAUUUUACUAAAUGGAAUGGGAAGAAUGACGGUGGCAGUAGGAGGACUAGGUAUGUCGUUCCCUUCCCCACCCUGGAUCUUUGUACUCCACGCAUCAAGUGGGAAAAGAGAAAGCGUGAAACAAAGAGACUGUAUCAAGAGAAAACCAAGUCAAGGAAGAGAAAGGAACAUUUGAGAAAAAUGUUCAUGGGGGUCAAGGAGUUGGUCCACAAUGAAACAGAGGUUCCAAAAUGUAGAAGAGAGUGAGUUGUAAAGACGUCUCUUGAAGAGUAGUUAAGGGUACUUUAUCCAUUUGCAUUAGAUUUAACUGCUUAAAAAUAGAAAAAAUCCAAAACAACCAUGACUUAAGAUAGAAGUCACUUACGAUAGAAAUUUCUCCAGUGGUUAGGGCUCCGCGAUUCUACUGCAGUAGGAACAGUUUCAAUCUCUGGUUGAGACACUAAGAUCCCACAUGCCGCGAGGUGUGGCAAUAAAUAAAUACAUAAAUGCAUUUAAAAUUGCUCUUUCUCUGUCUCCAGGGCUGGCAUGGUGGUUCCAUACCAUCAGAGACCUAGGUUCUACGUCUAUGAGCAUCACGUCAUAUUCCAGAUGGUUGCUGAAGCACCAGCCCCUAAAUCGUCAUUCCAGACAACCAGAAAAGAAGAGGGAACAAAGAACUGUACACUACUCUUUUGGAUUUCCAGGAAGUCCCCGCAGUCAUGAAGGAAAAGUAACAGACAGUGUUGCUUUAAGGCCAGUAGUUCAUCCAUAUGCCCAAGCUGUGAGCAGUUUCAUGGAAGUCAGCACCAGUAAUCUGUGUUGAUGGCAGCAGCUUCCUCAGAGGAUGAAAAAGGCCCAGAAGAGCUACAGUAAGAAGAAGAUGCAAUCUCUGCAGCCUGAUGACCAGCACACUCCAGCUGCAAGAGACACCCUUGACCAGGGACCAGAGCAACCAGGACCCCAGAACUGAGGCACACACUGGACAGACCUAAAUAGGUGGAAGGAAUCAUGAACUGCUUCAUUUUUUAACUGAAAAAUGAUGGCUAUUUCUCAGAAAUAACUAAGAUUCCAUUUUUUGCCAUUUGGUAUAAAUGGAAUUUAACAAAGAGAUUGAGUAAUACAAAAAUAGUUACUUUUUCUUUGCACACUUGAGUUCAUACUGCUACCCUAGUCACUGAUGUGAUGACUAGAUGUAAUACUAAGUGUUUCUUGAGAAUCUGUAAAGUGCUCUGUGUGGGGGCUGAGGCCAACAUCAGAGGCACAAAACAUCACUAGAUCCCCUGACCAAGUUUUUGUCUUUUGUUUUUUGUGAUCGCAACUGUCACCAAGAAAAAGCCUGCUAGAAAAGCAGAUGGCAGAACUUUUGAAUACAAGAAGAAUAGUUCCCUGAGGAGACACAACAGAAUUGGAGAUGCCAGUGGAGGAGAUGAAGCACAAGGAUGAGAAGGUCUCAAAGGUGAUGCAGGAGACAAUAGCACAGAAGGUGUAGAAUCAAGAGUUUGAGAAGAGAGGGGACAUUCAAGUCCUGUGCCCAGAGAUCAGUAUCCAUGGAUCAG